rnacentral:rRNA from 1 species
CAGCUAGUUGGCGGGGUAAUGGCCCACCAAGGCGAAGAUCGGUAGCCGGCCUGAGAGGGCACACGGCCACACUGGCACUGAAACACGGGCCAGACUCCUACGGGAGGCAGCAGUGGGGAAUCUUGCACAAUGGAGGAAACUCUGAUGCAGCGACGCCGCGUGAGCGAUGAAGCCCUUCGGGGUGUAAAGCUCUUUCGACGGGAACGAUAAUGACGGUACCCGAAGAAGAAGCUGCGGCUAACUACGUGCCAGCAGCCGCGGUAAUACGUAGGCAGCAAGCGUUGUUCGGAAUUACUGGGCGUAAAGAGUGUGUAGGCGGUGCUCCAAGUCUGGUGUGAAAUCCCCCGGCUCAACUGGGAGGGUGCGCUAGAAACUGGAAUGCUAGAGGAUGGGAGAGGUAAGCGGAAUUCCUGGUG